GUGGCAUGGCGGGCGCUUAGCUUACGCGACGUGUACGUCGCAUAUAGUAGUUCCGGUGGACUGAGGGCUCACGUCGGCUUUUUUUUUCUUUUUUUUUGCUUUUUUCUUCUUGCUCUCUGACUCUCUCUCACUCUCACUGCAUACGUGAUUGCGGCACUCGUGAAAUUUUCUCAUCAUUUUUGUGUGUUUCGGAGGUCUCGGUCCAAACACGAAGGGAGGAGAAAUGCGUGCCACGCCUGUAGGAGGAAAGAUGAUGCGCGGCGACGGCCGAAAGCUGCAGGAGUAGGAAGUUCGAUCAGUGGGCAACACCCGUCCCGUGGUGGCACGUGAGACGAGCUGCUUUUUUUUGGCGGCCCGACCUUUUUAUGAACGGCGGACACGACUGUGGUGUAGCCCCGAGGACGAUUCGGCUGUCUUCGCAGUCUGUGGCGUGACGUUUUAUUUGUCAUCGUGCCCACAGUGACUCUGACGUAGCGAUUUCAAACAUUCCGGCAAAGGCACCUCGUGCGACAUAUAGUUUGCGGCAUCAUCGUCAUCGUUGGUGCGCAACCAGCCAUGGGCCGCCGGAAUACCGCCGAAUCUCGCUGCCUGUGAAGCCGCGCCGCACGACUGGGGUGGGGUCCACGUGCCCAAGCAGGAUCCAGUUGUCCCCGCCGGCGCUCACACAGCCACCGCCGGCGUCAUGACAUCGCGGGCGAGCAGCAACGGCACCCCCAUGGACGAGGUCGAGGAAGUGUUUCGGGUACUGCGCGGCCAGGAACGCGUGGUGGGCGUAAUCGCCACCACGGCCGACGGGGCGCCGAUCAAGUCGACGCUCGAGGACGACGCCGAGACCAGCCGGUACGCGCAGCUCGCGGCGGGCCUUUGCGACCAGGCCAGGAGCUCCAUGAGCGACGCGGGACCCGGGGAGGAACCGACGUUCUUCAAGAUGAAGACCCGCCGCCAUGAGGUCGUCAUCUCGCCCAGCAAGAGGUACACGCUCGUCGUGUUAACCGAAGUCCCGCAGCCGCCCGCCGAGGCCGGACAAUAAGGAAAUCGACGACGCUGCCUCGCAAGAUGGUUAUGAACUACCUGCUGUGUGUGAGCUGUGUAGUUGCGACGUGAAGUUUCGCGAUUCAACAAAAUUGCAGAGCCACGUAUGACAAACUUGUCGUUUUUGCUGCGUGCGCGAGUGAAGACAGUGCUUAGCGUUGUAACACAAAGCCGCUGUCGGGAGACGACAUUGCCGAGGGUCUCGUAACAGGCGGUCGGCGAGAAGUGUAUGAUGCGAAGAGAGAAAAUGCAGCAUGUGGCACGAGCAAAUGAGUGCGGUACACUUUUAUUCUGUGCAGUGUCGAAGCAUCCUUCGCUUCACCUAGCGCAUCAGGGAAGUCGAAACGCAUAAGAAGGCGCUUAGUGGUUAAUAUACGGCGGCGCUUAAUACAUUACCUUCCUCUAAUAGCUGCCGCGGUAAAAUUAUUGUCAUUGUGGGAGUAUGCGUCCGCCUAGUUUAAGCCCCGUUAUACAUUGUUACAAGCAUGUUAGAAGCGAAUGCCACAUUGCACGCACCAUAAGACCCGGUAUAUAUAGAGCUGUUAAGAUAACAAUGUGGACGAUCGGCUCAGUUUUGUGCAGUGUUGUAUGCGAUAGUGAGUAUAGAGUUGAAGCGCGCAACUGAUUGAGGGUACGGGGAAUCACAGACACAGGUACGAUUUUGCGUAUACAACACGCUGUCUACCGGAGAACGUCCACAACACAGCUCCCAAGCUGUGUUGUAUAUAUGUAUAUAUAUAUCAGGGAAAUUGAGACUUCCACCCAAUCGUAGCAAUUGCUACAAACGACACCCAUGCGGGUUUCUCGAAAGAAAAGCCAGCCACGUAGGCGAUUCGUCCUGGCCCGGGACUUGAACCCGCGACCACCGCCUUUCCGGGCAACCGCUCUACCAUCUGAGCUGGCCAGGCGGCUAGCAGAUCGCAGGGCUAAGUCUAAUUUAUCAACUCGAAGCAAAGGCAAGUGCUUGACGUAAUAGUUCAGCGGAAACCCGCUAGGGGGGUGUCUCAUUUUCCCUUUAAUUACUUCUCCACCUAGCGGGUUUCCGCUGAACUAUUAAGUCACAGAUAGAUAUAGAUAUAUACGUUCUGAUAUGGACAGCAUUGCUGGUAACGACCUCCAAUAAAGUUCUUACACUCACUCACUCAAUGAAGUCGUGAUACUUGGGACAGACUCCAAAUAUUCAGCAUUUGCCUUGCUUACUGUGUUUGCGCUACCCUUCGGCGGAUGAAUAACACGGGCGGUUCCGCUAACUGGAGGCGGGUGUGCAACUUUAGCGACUUCGAGUGCAACUCGCCACAGCGAGUGUCCCUUUCCCGCUGCUGGGCGAGAAAAGAAAGCAUAAUUUGAAAUUAAUGAAAGUAUCGAUAGGUAAAUCAUCCAGCGCAUCAUACGCUUGUUAUUUUAGACAAUAUUUGCAAAAUAACAUUUACACGAUCAAUUGUCACGAGUGACAACCAGACGACGUUGCAUCCAACACUAAAGCGACGCGCUGCGCGUUUGUACGUCCUGACAGCAGCGAAGCUCCAGCCCCUACAAAGCGACCCGGAUGUCGUUGGUAAAGGAAGAAUAGCCGUUUUAAGUGCGGAGCACUUUAGGGGCCCGGGAUGUCGCCCUUCGUCGGUGGGUGUCACGCACAACACAAGGUCUACGUAAGACAUAAAAUUCCCAUAAAAUUCCGCCAGAAAUGGAUAAAACUAAAGCAAAUAAGUAUAAAAUAUAAAAUAAGGAAAACAUCGUGAUUAACGUGUAGCAGCGUCAGCAACGCACGGAACUGUUGUCGACGGCGUGCGCGUUUUCCCCGCGUUCGCACCGUACGCGCGCGGCGUCCGUGACUGUUGCCGGUGCCUCUAGCGGCGGCUCGGAGGUUUUCGACCAGAUCAGAACUGGACACUCGUCAAGCAGCGUCGGAAGUCUUUGCCACCUUCUCGCAACGUUUUUAUAUAAAUAAGUUUCUGUUUGUAGAUGUGUGCUUACUCGGGGCUUAGAAUAUUUUAAAUCAAAAGAAAACCAGUUUCAGAAUUAGCGUCCACCACCCACUGAGUAUUAUUAAGGCAGACGCGUUAUAUGCCCCAUGAAGCGGAAAAUCCUGUGAGCGUCCGGCGUUAACAUCCGAUGGCAAGACACAUCCGGUGACCAAGUGAUGGCGUCACGUUCCCGGAGCUGGACCUUCUGCGGCUUCCAAUGCGAAAUUCCACGGUGAAAAGCCACACGCCGUGGCCCACACCCCAAAAAUUGACUUUGCCCAAAUCAGAAAUUGAGCUGACCCCCGUUCAAAACCUACCUGGCUGACUCCCAAAAUUUACUUGGCCCACCCCCAAAAUUUUGGUGGCCAGCCCUCAAAACUGACUUUGCCCAAUUCGAGCACAUGACCUAGUGAUAACAUCAUGUGACAUAGUCACGUGACCAACUAUGAACUUGAGUUGUGGCCAAAUGAUGACACCAUGUGACAUUGUUACGUGACAUGGACGUCGAUAUAGUCGACACACCCAGAAUGCUUUCGCAUUGAAUGCACGUAAGAGACUUAAGUGCGUCAGUGACUUUUUUUAUUCAUAUUUGAAGGCCUUCCAUACAAGAGAGGUACUUCUAUGUCCAUACGCUUCUCGCUUGCCCAAGGACAGAAGUAAGGUUGGGAAACGAAAUGACGUACCUGGCUGGUGUAGCCGUUGACACAGGUCGCGACAGACCAACAUUUGCUGACAAUGUCUAGCCAUAUAAGGCCACGUAUGUUGACAUUGAUGAUAAAAUAAUGGACAAUGGCGCUGCACGCGCUUCUUUUGGCAGCUCUCGCGCAUACCAACGGUAUCAAUCGCAAAAAAGGAGCGAGGUACUGUAUCAUGACGUUAUGACGCACCCGCCUUCUCGGUACCGAAACCAUAGCAGGCUCGUAGAAGCAAGUAUACUGUAUUAAAUUAUUUAGGACGCGCUGACAAUUUCCAGUAUUUUUCAAAUGUUUAGAAGGUUCGGACGUUUUUUGAAGGAUAAAAUAUCAAGUCUGUAAUGUCUUCUUUAAGUUAGGAGGAAGAUAUAAGCAGUAGGAACUAUUUCGUAAAACGACUGUUUUGAUUCACAAUAAAAACCACUGCUAGGGCCCCUAGGAGGACACCCGUCAAUUUGCCAACAAACGUCGCGACAAAUGGCCGCUGUCCCGCGGUAGGCGUCAAGCUCCUACAUCGCCUUUGCGGCUGUAAGCGUCAGUGAAUGCACUGCAAUUACGAGAACGACGGGUAAGAAAGGAAAAACACUAGCGACGAGAACGCGAGCUGAAGGAAUUUUGUGCUUAUGAAGUCGUGCUUAUGAACGUGCUGUAAAAAAAGAGCAUCGUCCCUCUUACGAAUUGCCACGGGUGCACAUUUCUCAUCUUCCCGGCCCCAUCCCUCCGGGUUACCGUUCCCGCUUUCAUCUUUAAAGAAACUCAGAUUGACUUACCUCACAGGACGAUUUCCCACAUGCCGUUAUAAAAUACGCGGGUAUUCCGAUACCAAAACACCA